GAUUUGAAGUACAAAUAUUAAUCUAUUGUGUUUUAAAUUGUUAAGAUAUUCUUAACAGUUCUAUUAUUGCAAAGAAUUUCUUUACUUAUUAUUAUUUUUAUUAUUUAGUUCAUAUAAAAUUCUUACAUUAUCAUAAUUUACAUUUAACAAUUUCGUGAUAUUAUUUUUGGGGUAAGCCCCCCGGUAACGUUUAUCCAAAAAUGAUCUUAAAUAUUAGGUCAUGCCAUGGCAUAUUUGGACCUGUUCUAGUUUCACCAAUGAUUUCGUUCUCUGAUGUCUUGUUGAAUUUCAUUUUAACUUAGAUAUUUUUAAAUAGUUCAAAAAUUAAUGAAGUUCUGAUUAUUUCAAUUGUAGAAUCUUUUUAAACGCCAAUAGUUAUAUAAAAAUUAUUACAAUGAUUUCUAUUUAAAUGAUUUAUUACUAUAAACGCCUCUUAACUAAAAUAUUAAAUCCAUAAAAAAACAGCUACAAAACAGAUUUAUAUCUAAUAAACAAAUAAAGUUAUAUUAAAAUUCAAACGUAAUUCAUUACUUAACAUAAUUUCAUUAAAUGUAAAAUAUCUGUUCCAUUUGUAAACUAAGUUGACACCCACAUUAUACAUGGUAUGAGAGAUGGACUUAAAAAUUACUACAUAGCUAAUAAUUCAAACAAUUUUCAGCGAGUAAUUGAAUAAGCUUAUAGCUCAUGAAAAUUAUACGGCGCUAAUUAGAAUUUCGAAUAUUUUUUUUAAGUAACCGAAUUAAUUAACGGAAUUGCAACUGAGAAUAGCUAGGCUUCGGAUUAUAUUUAUAGUUAUCUAAAUUUAUUUAAAAGUAAAACUAUAUUAAAAAUAUUAUUAUAUAAAACUAAAAAAAUAUUUUUAAUAUUUUUAUAGUUUUUUUUUUUUUUGACACUUUUUCUUCCGUGCUAUUAUAUAGAAUACCUGAAAACUAUAAAAAACUGAAGACGAAAUACGUUUUUGUAACUGAUACAAAGUUAUCUCUUUCGUUUAAAAUGGAAAAUGACACAAAAUAUCCACUUAAAGUAUUAUGUUAAUAUAUAAAACUAAACAAAAUUAAAAACAAAUAGCUGUAUUUUACAGUAUUUAGAAUAUCUAAUUAUAAAUACGUGUUUUUUAUUUUCUUUUGAUCUUACAUUCGAAGGGUUGUCAUGACAAAAAAAUUUAAUUGGAAUUUAUUUUCAUACAGCUAAUAUACAAAACUACUCGUAAUUUUAAUUUUCUUUCCAAAGAUAUUUAUACACAGCACAGAAGACAUGUUGAUUAUAAACUCAUCGCCUCAGCAUUUGUGGACACGAAGAUAGCUAAGAUAUAUUUUGAUAGAAAGCAGACUUACACAACUGAUGGCGCCAGACAGUUAACAAUUAAACAAAGAAAAUGCGUUUUUCCUGAUGAAAUACCGCUAGUUACUAAUUAUAUUUAUAUAUUCAGUGCUUGCAUGACACAAUGUCGAAUGGAUAAAACAAGACACACAUGCGGCUGUGUGCUUUGGUUCUAUAGGAAAAUAAAGGACUACAGACAUUGCAAUUUAGAUGGUCUGCUUGUAUCGCAAAACAUUUUGGCUAUAUGGAGAGGAAGAAAAAAAUAGAGUGGACUAUAUGGAUAUAUCAUUUAAAACACAAAAACAAUUAACUGUAUGACACAAGAGAGAAAAUGUUAUAUGUGAUGUUUAAGAUUGAUACCUCCCUAUUGUUGUUAAAAAUUUACAAAUUACAAUUGUAUUUGUUUCUAUAAA